rnacentral:rRNA from 1 species
ACUCCUACGGGAGGCAGCAGUAAGGAAUAUUGGUCAAUGGGCGCAAGCCUGAACCAGCCAUGCCGCGUGCAGGAAGACGGCCUUAUGGGUUGUAAACUGCUUUUAUAUAGGAAUAACCUCCCGAUCGUGAUCGGGACUGAAGGUACUAUACGAAUAAGGACCGGCUAACUCCGUGCCAGCAGCCGCGGUAAUACGGAGGGUCCAAGCGUUAUCCGGAUUUAUUGGGUUUAAAGGGUGCGCAGGCGGACCUAUCAGUCAGUGGUGAAAUCCCGGGGCUCAACUCCGGAACUGCCAUUGAUACUGUAGGUCUUGAGUUUGGUUGAAGUGGGCGGAAUGUAGCAUGUAGCGGUGAAAUGCAUAGAUAUGCUACAGGACACCGAUCGCGAAGGCAGCUCACUAAGCCAAGACUGACGCUCAGGCACGAAAGCGUGGGUAGCGAACAGGAUUAGAUACCCUGGUAGUCCACGCCGUAAACGAUGAUCACUCGUUGUUGGCAACACAUAGUCAGUGACCAAGCGAAAGCGAUAAGUGAUCCACCUGGGGAGUACGUUCGCAAGAAUGAAACUCAAAGGAAUUGACGGGGGCCCGCACAAGCGGUGGAGCAUGUGGUUUAAUUCGAUGAUACGCGAGGAACCUUACCUGGGCUCAAAUGUAAGUUGACAGUUUCUGAAAGGGAAUUUUCUUCGGACAAUUUACNAAGGUGCUGCAUGGUUGUCGUCAGCUCGUGCCGUGAGGUGUCGGGUUAAGUCCCAUAACGAGCGCAACCCCUAUUCUUAGUUGCCAUCAGGUCAUGCUGGGGACUCUAGGAAAACUGNCUACGCAAGUAGAGANNANNNGGGGAUGACGUCAAAUCAGCACNGGCCCUUACGUCCANGCNACACA